GGAAAAGGAAAAUAAAACAAUCGUGAUUCCGUGAGUAGUGGUGAACGAAAAUGGAAAAGCUUUAAACCUAAAAGUUUAAUAGUUCUAAGAAUACCUAAGUUUAAAACCAAAGAAGGUUCCUGACCUGUUUAAACAAGGUUCUUAAAGCUAAAAAGUAGAACGCUUAUGUUUGAAAAUGGUGAUUCAUUCAUCAAAAGCUAAAUAUUACUUUACAUCGAUAGAGAAUAGUACUGUGAAGGAAAUUUGAAAUAUAGAAAAAAUUGAAAAAAUAUUUAAACCCGGUGCUAAAUUAGCUGAAGGAGCUUAAAAAGUGACUUCGUACUUUUUGUAUAACGGACUGAGGAAAACUUCUAUUUAGUUUCUAGGUUAACCCUCGAGGGAAAGCCCUAUGAAAAAAGUAAAAUUAAGUAGUUCCCGAAACCUGAUGAUCUUUCCAUUCUCAGUUUGAAGCUUUUUUAAUUAAAAGUGGAGGAGCGAACCCGUUGAUGUUGCAAUAUCAUGGGAUGAAGGGUGGAAAGCGGUGAAAUGCCAAUCGAAUUGGGUCAUAGCUGGUUUUCUGCGAAAUGUAUUUAGGUACAGCGUAAAAAUGUUCUAGAAUAAGGUAAAACACUGAUUUGUGUCAGGGGGCGUAAAAGCUUACCGGCACUUGUUAAAUUCUAAAUAUAUUCUAGUANCUUUUUGCAGUGAGAAAUUUCAUGAUAAGGUGAAAUUUCGAGAGAGAAACAACUCACAAUCAAAACUAAGGCCAUUAAAAGAAUUUAAGUAUGAAAGAUUAGUGAAAAACUUUAGUCGGAUUCGAAGUGGGCUUAGAAAUAGCCAUCUUUUAAAGAAAAUGUAAUAAUUCAGUCUAAAAGUAAGUUUUUUGCGUCGAAAAUUUAGGUGGUUAAAUAUCUUGCCAAAGUUUGAUAAUAGGUAGCAGAACGUGUUGUAAUUUAUAAAAUUAGAAAUAAUAUAUCAACAGUGAUUAUCUCAGUAUGAGUAACAUAAAAGAGUAUAAAACUCUUUUCCCGAAAUCUUAUUAGUUCCAAUCGUGAGGAUAAACUCGGUUGGGUUAUUUAACCUGCCUCUAAGUUUACGGCUAAAGCCUAUAACGAUGAGAAACUGUGAUGGGACGAAAGAUAGCUUUAAAAUCUUUCCGCGAAAAUCAUCAGUAAAUUAACAGUAUUAAAUCUGACACAAGUAAGAAGGUAGAAAAUACCAAGGGAAUCUCAGAACUCCGGUUAAGGAACUCGGCAAAAUGUUCCAGUACGUUCGCAAUAAUGGAAGUUUAAUUUUUUGUCUAGCGAUAAUCAAAAAAUUAAANGGCACAGAAUAGUUAGGAUGAACUGUUUACCAAAAACACAGUCUAUCGCGACCUGUAAUUAGUUUGUAUGAUAGAUGAAGCCUGACCAAUGUUAAUUUGAUAAAAUCUUUCCUUCACGGGAAAGGUAUAACGAUUAAUCAAUGUCCGCCGUAACCAUGACGGUGCUAAGGUAGCGUAAUAAAUAGACAUUUAAUUUGUGUCAAGUAUGAAUGGCUUAAUCGAUUCUAAGCUGUCUCAACCGGAGAGAGAGUGAAUUUGAAGUUGCGGUUAAGAUGCCGUAUAGGAGUAUGAAGACAAGAAGACCCCAGCCGCUUUACUGUAAGGUAAUAUUGGAAAAGGUUUCAAGUUGUAUAGGAUAAGUAGUAAUUGUUUCAAGCCCUUGGAAUACUACUCGCUUGAAAACUUUUUCUAACCCUUUGACAAAAAGGGAACAGUGUUACCUGGGCAGUUUUAUUGGGGCGAUAGCGUUCUAAAAAGUAACGAACGUUCGCAAUAGGAGGGCUCUGAUUCGUUAGAACCGAAAUCAUUGAGCGUAAAAGCAAAUGCCCUCUUGAAUAACUAUCCGAUAGGAUUAUUAUGGCUUAACGGCUGCUUUAUUGAACUGGAGAAAUAAUAUGAAACAAUCUCCAAUAAUAAGCUAAGUCACGCUGGGGAUAACAGUGUAAUAAGAGCUGAGCGUACCUAGCGACGUUCUUGUUUGCCACCUCGAUGUUGAAUCGGCCCAGCUCGGUGGUUGCAACAGCUGCCAAGAGUUAGACUGUUCGUCUAUUAAAGGGCCACGUGAUUUGAGUUCAAAACGUCGUAAGACAGUUUGGUUUAUAUCUCAUACUUCCGAAGAUAAAAGGCUAUAGUUUUCCUUAGUACGAAAGGACUGGGAAGACGGAACCUCUGGUGAACUAUUAUGAAUGAUUUCGUAUGUAGUUUAGCUACGUUCUGGGGAAUAACUGCUGAAAGCAUCUAAAGCAGGAAGUCUUCGCCUAGAAUCUAUAAUUUGCUUAGUCAAAGAACAUGACUUAAAUAGGGGAANAGUGAACAAGCAGAUUCCUACUAAAUAGCAAA
rnacentral:rRNA from 1 species